CUCAAAUGUAAUUCUUUUUAUGACUUACAGGUCCCAGGUCUUGUAUCUGCUUCCUCCCCCUUUCCUGACUAUAAAAAAUAAUAAAGAAAGACAACUAACUUUUAAAGCCCAAAAUGAUCAGGCUCCUGGUGCACCAGAAUGAGUGUGGGCGCUCUCUCAGAUGAGCCGUAAGAAGACAAACCAGGUUAUCAGAAACUGUGGAGUGACCUACCUGCUGAACCCAGGCUUGGUAAAUCUACCUCUGCUUUACAAUUCUGAUUUAUUAUGUGAUUUAUAAAUGAAGAGUAUUAUUAUGUUGUUACAAGUGAAUGAUGUGAAAGAAAAGACGUCUGAAGUCAUUUCACUGUUCUUUAUAACUUUUAAAACAUUUGUAAGAAUCACUCUAAUCAACUCAGAUGACCUUUGAGGACAGUUUUCCACUUUGUCCUAAAGCAGCAUCUGGACCAAAACAAACCUAAGUUAUUUUAUGGUCACAGCCCACAAGGAUCAGUUGAUCAGUGUAGAGAAAUAUCCUAUAAAAAUGAUGCAUUAGUAAUAAUGUUAUUACGUUUCAAAAGUGAUAAAUAGGUCUAUGUUUGUUUUUUCCAAACAGGAAAACUUGAAUUCUUUUGGCUUUUUUAUGAAUGAGAAAAACAUCAAUUUGAAGACUGUUGCUUAACAUUGCCGGGAAAUAUUUUGAAUGAAAUAAUGUCAUAAUAAUUGUUUAUUAAUAUUUUAUUUUAUUUUGUCUUCCUGCUCCUUUUACAUGUUGGAGACGUUUGACGCGUCUGCUUCUGCUCACGAUGAUGCAUAUGUGGGUUAUAAGUGUCCCCAAAGAAACACUCAGUGAUGAUGAUGAUGAUGAUGAUGAUGUGCUGCUGACUCUUCUGACAGGACGCUGAUUUACAUUGUUUUUCAGUUUUCCUCCUGACAUCAGCCUGCUCGUCAGCGUGCGCACGAUGCGCGCGCUCCGUGCCAAGAACACAACC